CGGCUCAUCUCAUCCUGGGGCUGUAGCCGGUCCCAAGGGUAUGGCUGUUCGCCAUUUAAAGAGGUACGUGAGCUGGGUUUAAAACGUCGUGAGACAGUUUGGUCCCUAUCUUCCGUGGGCGCUGCAGAUUUGAGGGAGCCUGCUCCUAGUACGAGAGGACCGGAGUGGACGAACCUCUGGUGUUCCGGUUGUCACGCCAGUGGCAUUGCCGGGUAGCUAUGUUCGGAAGAGAUAACCGCUGAAAGCAUCUAAGCGGGAAACUCGUUUCAAGAUGAGAUCUGCCGGGGCCUUGAGCCCCCUAAAGAGUCGUUCAAGACCAGGACGUUGAUAGGUCAGGUGUGGAAG
rnacentral:rRNA from 14 species